GCCCCGUCCCGUCCGGGUGCCACAGGUCCGCCAUGAAGACCAGGCGGGGGCGCUCCUCCGGGGGUCCCGCAGGGGAAGCAGAGGCAGGGAAAACAGACAAAACUCCAGAAAAACCUGCAGCCAAGACUCCUGAGAAGACUCCAGCCAAGAACCCUUCAAAAAGUCCAAGCAAGAGCCUUUCAAAAAGUCCAGCAAACUCACCUCAAAGAAGUCCUUCCAAAUCGAUGUGAUUGCUAUUUACACUAUAAAUACAUUAAUGUAGCUAUGACAAGGUU